rnacentral:rRNA from 1 species
UACAUAGGUCUCAAGCGUUGUUCGGAAUCACUGGGCGUAAAGCGUACGCAGGCUGUUCGUUAAGUCGGGUGUGAAAUCCCGGGGCUCAACCCCGGAAUUGCGCCCGAAACUGGCGAGCUUGAGUGCGGGAGAGGGAAGCGGAAUUCCUGGUGUAGAGGUGAAAUUCGUAGAUAUCAGGAGGAACACCGGUGGCGAAAGCGGCCUCCUGGCCCGACACUGACGCUCAUGUACGAAAGCGUGGGGAGCAAACAGG